rnacentral:rRNA from 1 species
GGUAGUCCACGCCGUAAACGAUGUCGACUUGGAGGUUGUGCCCUUGAGGCGUGGCUUCCGGAGCUAACGCGUUAAGUCGACCGCCUGGGGAGUACGGCCGCAAGGUUAAAACUCAAAUGAAUUGACGGGGGCCCGCACAAGCGGUGGAGCAUGUGGUUUAAUUCGAUGCAACGCGAAGAACCUUACCUACUCUUGACAUCCAGAGAACUUAGCAGAGAUGCUUUGGUGCCUUCGGGAACUCUGAGACAGGUGCUGCAUGGCUGUCGUCAGCUCGUGUUGUGAAAUGUUGGGUUAAGUCCCGCAACGAGCGCAACCCUUAUCCUUUGUUGCCAGCGGUUAGGCCGGGAACUCAAAGGAGACUCCCAGUGAUAAACUGGAGGAAGGUGGGGAUGACGUCAAGUCAUCAUGGCCCUUACGAGUAGGGCUACACACGUGCUACAAUGGCGCAUACAAAGAGAAGCGACCUCGCGAGAGCAAGCGGACCUCAUAAAGUGCGUCGUAGUCCGGAUUGGAGUCUGCAACUCGACUCCAUGAAGUCGGAAUCGCUAGUAAUCGUAGAUCAGAAUGCUACGGUGAAUACGUUCCCGGGCCUUGUACACACCGCCCGUCACACCGUGGGAGUGGGUUGCAAAAGAAGUAGGUAGCUUAACCUUCGGGAGGGCGCUUACCACUUUGUGAUUCAUGACUGGGGUGAAGUCGUAACAAGGUAACCGUAGGGGAACCUGC